GUGCUUGCUUCUAUAGUACAAAUACUAAAAUUGGAACCAUAUAGAGAAGAUCAGCAUGACCCUUGCACAAGGAAGACAUGUCAAAUUUAGUAGUAAAAGCCCUGCUC
ensembl:snRNA U6 U6 spliceosomal RNA